AUUGAACGCUGGCGGCAGGCUUAAAACAUGCAAGUCGAGCGAGCGGCGGACGGGUGAGUAAUGUCUGGGAAUGUGCCUGUUGGAGGGGGAUAACUACUGGCAACGGUAGCUAACACUGCAUACCAUCAGAUGUGCCCGGUGGGGAUUAGCUGGUGGGUGGGGUAAUGGCUCACCUGGGCGACGCUCCCUAGAUGGACUGAGAGGAUGAACAGCCACACUGGAACUGAGACACGGUCCAGACUCCUACGGUAGGCAGCAGUGGGGAAUAUUGCACAAUGGGCGCAAGCCUGAUGCAGCCAUGCCGCGUGUGUGAAGAAGGCCUUCGGGUUGUAAAGCACUUUCAGCGAGGAGGCGUUACUCGCAGAAGAAGCACCGGCUAACUCCGUGCCAGCAGCCGCGGUAAUUC
rnacentral:rRNA from 1 species